AAGUCGAGCGGAUGAAGGGAGCUUGCUCCUGGAUUCAGCGGCGGACGGGUGAGUAAUGCCUAGGAAUCUGCCUGGUAGUGGGGGAUAACGUCCGGAAACGGGCGCUAAUACCGCAUACGUCCUGAGGGAGAAAGUGGGGGAUCUUCGGACCUCACGCUAUCAGAUGAGCCUAGGUCGGAUUAGCUAGUUGGUGGGGUAAAGGCCUACCAAGGCGACGAUCCGUAACUGGUCUGAGAGGAUGAUCAGUCACACUGGAACUGAGACACGGUCCAGACUCCUACGGGAGGCAGCAGUGGGGAAUAUUGGACAAUGGGCGAAAGCCUGAUCCAGCCAUGCCGCGUGUGUGAAGAAGGUCUUCGGAUUGUAAAGCACUUUAAGUUGGGAGGAAGGGCAGUAAGUUAAUACCUUGCUGUUUGACGUACCAACAGAAUAAGCACCG
rnacentral:rRNA from 1 species